UACGUAGGUGGCAAGCGUUGUCCGGAUUUACUGGGCGUAAAGGGCUUGUAGGCGGUUUGUUAAGUCUGGUGUGAAAUCUCCCGGCUCAACCGGGAGGGGUCAUCGGAUACUGGCAGGCUUGAGACGGGUAGAGGAAAGCAGAAUUCCCGGUGUAGCGGUGAAAUGCGUAGAUAUCGGGAGGAAUACCAGUGGCGAAGGCGGCUUUCUGGGCCUGUUCUGACGCUGAGGAGCGAAAGCGUGGGGAGCAAACCGG
rnacentral:rRNA from 1 species